UACUGAAGGCAUGCCGGAUCCUUGGCAC
rnacentral:piRNA from 1 species